rnacentral:rRNA from 1 species
CGCGGCGCCAGCUUUGCCCGUAAUCACUGGGCGUAAAGGGCUCGCAGGUGGGUUUUCAUGCGGGGGGUGAAAGGCCGGGGCUCAACCCCGGGACUGCUUCCCGAACUGCGGAUCUAUAGGGGGUCAGGGGCCAGCGGAAUUCCGGGUGGAGAGGUGAAAUUCGUAGAGAUCCGGAGGAACGCCGGCGGCGAAAGCGGUUGGCUGGGGCCGCCCUGACACUGAGGCGCGAGAGCGUGUGGAGCAAACAGGAUUAGAUACCCUGGUAGUCCACGCCGUAAACGAUGGGUACCGGGUGUCCGGGGGUCGACCCCCCUGGUGCCGCAGCUAACGCGAUGAGUACCCCGCCUGGGGAGUACGGCCGCAAGGCUAAAACUCAAAGGAAUUGACGGGGGCCCGCACAAGCGGUGGAACAUGUGGUUUAAUUCGAGGCAACGCGAAGAACCUUACCUGGGCUUGACAUCCCCGGACCGCCCUGGAGACAGGGUUUCCCCUUCGGUGGGCCGGUUGACACAGGUGCUGCAUGGCUGUCGUCAGCUCGUGUCGUGAGAU